GUUUAUUGAGUAAUCAUCAAAUUUUUUCUCGCCUUCUUUGUUCUUUAAAACUCUUUCCCCAGCUUUUGGGAUGCUGCAAUUUUCAGAAUCUUGCUCUGUUGUCCAGGCCGGAGUGCAGUGGCAUGAUCAUAGCUCACUGCAGCCUUGAAUUCCU